rfam:Triticum urartu cultivar G1812 contig762196, whole genome shotgun sequence.
AUACCUUUCUCGGCCUUUUGGCUAAGAUCAAGUGUAGUAUCUGUUCUUAUCAGUUUAAUAUUUGAUAUGUGGGCCAUGUGCCCACAACGAUAUUAAAUUUAUCUUUUGUGGGGGAGGGUCCACCACACUACCUUGCUAGUGGGGCCCUCAUGUGUCGCUUGGGCGUUGCACUAUUGCCCAGGACCCUGAUGUCUACUAC